rnacentral:rRNA from 1 species
AGGAGCUUGCUCCUUGGGUGACGAGUGGCGGACGGGUGAGUAAUGUCUGGGAAACUGCCCGAUGGAGGGGGAUAACUACUGGAAACGGUAGCUAAUACCGCAUAACGUCGCAAGACCAAAGAGGGGGACCUUCGGGCCUCUUGCCAUCGGAUGUGCCCAGAUGGGAUUAGCUAGUAGGUGGGGUAACGGCUCACCUAGGCGACGAUCCCUAGCUGGUCUGAGAGGAUGACCAGCCACACUGGAACUGAGACACGGUCCAGACUCCUACGGGAGGCAGCAGUGGGGAAUAUUGCACAAUGGGCGCAAGCCUGAUGCAGCCAUGCCGCGUGUAUGAAGAAGGCCUUCGGGUUGUAAAGUACUUUCAGCGAGGAGGAAGGCGUUGUGGUUAAUAACCGCUACGAUUGACGUUACUCGCAGAAGAAGCACCGGCUAACUCCGUGCCAGCAGCCGCGGUAAUACGGAGGGUGCAAGCGUUAAUCGGAAUUACUGGGCGUAAAGCGCACGCAGGCGGUCUGUCAAGUCGGAUGUGAAAUCCCCGGGCUCAACCUGGGAACUGCAUCCGAAACUGGCAGGCUAGAGUCUUGUAGAGGGGGGUAGAAUUCCAGGUGUAGCGGUGAAAUGCGUAGAGAUCUGGAGGAAUACCGGUGGCGAAGGCGGCCCCCUGGACAAAGACUGACGCUCAGGUGCGAAAGCGUGGGGAGCAAACAGGAUUAGAUACCCUGCUAGUCCACGCCGUAAACGAUGUCGACUUGGA